AUUGAACGCUGGCGGCAGGCCUAACACAUGCAAGUCGAGCGGAUGAAGGGAGCUUGCUCCUGGAUUCAGCGGCGGACGGGUGAGUAAUGCCUAGGAAUCUGCCUGGUAGUGGGGGAUAACGUCCGGAAACGGGCGCUAAUACCGCAUACGUCCUGAGGGAGAAAGUGGGGGAUCUUCGGACCUCACGCUAUCAGAUGAGCCUAGGUCGGAUUAGCUAGUUGGUGGGGUAAAGGCCUACCAAGGCGACGGUCCGUAACUGGUCUGAGAGGAUGAUCAGUCACACUGGAACUGAGACACGGUCCAGACUCCUACGGGAGGCAGCAGUGGGGAAUAUUGGACAAUGGGCGAAAGCCUGAUCCAGCCAUGCCGCGUGUGUGAAGAAGGUCUUCGGAUUGUAAAGCACUUUAAGUUGGGAGGAAGGGCAGUAAGUUAAUACCUUGCUGUUUUGACGUUACCAACAGAAUAAGCACUGGCUAACUUCGUG
rnacentral:rRNA from 1 species